rnacentral:tRNA from 1 species
UAAAGGGCCUGAGUUGCAUUCAGAAGAUGUGGGUUAGUGUCCUGCAAGUCCUA